rnacentral:rRNA from 1 species
CCCGCACAAGCGGUGGAGCAUGUGGUUUAAUUCGAUGCAACGCGAAGAACCUUACCAGCCCUUGACAUGCUAGGUUUCGGAUUCGAGAGAUCGAUUCCUUCAGUUCGGCUGGGCCUAGUGCAGGUGCUGCAUGGCUGUCGUCAGCUCGUGUCGUGAGAUGUUGGGUUAAGUCCCGCAACGAGCGCAACCCUCAUCUUCAGUUGCCAUCAGGUCAAGCUGGGCACUCUGAAGAAACUGCCGGUGACAAGCCGGAGGAAGGUGGGGAUGACGUCAAGUCCUCAUGGCCCUUACGGGCUGGGCUACACACGUGCUACAAUGACGGUGACAGUGGGAUGCGAUGGCGCGAGCCGGAGCAAAUCCCCAAAAGCCGUCUCAGUUCGGAUUGCACUCUGCAACUCGAGUGCAUGAAGUUGGAAUCGCUAGUAAUCGCGGAUCAGCACGCCGCGGUGAAUACGUUCCCGGGCCUU